GUUUACCCACAAGCUAGGAAGCUAUUCCUCAGCAAAGUACUCCAAUAUAUAAAGGAAAGGCUUCUGGAUGCAAAGUAUGCUUGUGGCUUCUUAUUCAACAUAAUUGGAUCCCAUCCACUUGAGUUUAAAGCGGUCAGACAAGGAGGAAAAAAGUUGGACACCCGGUGCCUCAAGGCGAAAUAAGAAUCCUUCUAAGAAAUUCAGGAGGAAAACGACUACAAAUAAAAAGGUAAAAGUAACCAUAGUGGAAUAUAAAAAAGCAACAUUGGUGUUGAUGCUAGCAAUUAUGCUGAAAGAAGAGCUACCCCUGACUUAUCAGAUUCUCACCCCAACACCAGUCCCGAAGUUGAUGAAGUUAAUUCAGGUAAAGCUACUGCCACUUUCGAAAUCAAUGGUGUUUUCUAGUUCUCCUAGGGAAAUGAAAAAUACCCAUAAGAUGAUAGUUUCAUCCAUUGGCUUAUUGUUAUCUGUAGUGGGAGCCAAAUUCAAUACAUGCACUGCUGUCCUUACUCUUGCAAACUCACUGAGUGCCAUCCGCUCUAUGUUGUGGCUAUGAUAUUUUGUUACAUGCCCUUUAAAUCCUCAUAUAGAAAUGAACAUAGUACUCUCCCCUGUAAUAGGAGUGCAGCUGAUAAAUUUUCUUAAAACAUUGAUUUAGCUGCCUUUUAAAAAAUUUAUGAGUGGCACUAACAUAUCAUUUUGUUCAAGGAUUGAAUGAUUUAGAUUAUGGUCUUAAGAUUCAUACUAGUCAGGUCAUGGUUG